GAUGAACGCUAGCUACAGGCUUAACACAUGCAAGUCGCGGGGCAGCAUGGGGGUUGCUUGCAAUCCCUGAUGGCGACCGGCGCACGGGUGAGUAACGCGUAUCCAACCUGCCCUUCACCACGGGAUAACCCGGCGAAAGUCGGACUAAUACCGUAUGUUGUCCAUUGACGGCAUCCGAUUUGGACGAAAGGCUUAGCGGUGAGGGAUGGGGAUGCGUCCGAUUAGCUUGACGGCGGGGUAACGGCCCACCGUGGCUACGAUCGGUAGGGGUUCUGAGAGGAAGGUCCCCCACACUGGAACUGAGACACGGUCCAGACUCCUACGGGAGGCAGCAGUGAGGAAUAUUGGUCAAUGGGCGUAAGCCUGAACCAGCCAAGUAGCGUGCAGGAUGACGGCCCUAUGGGUUGUAAACUGCUUUUAUGCGGGGAUAAAGGGACCCACGUGUGGGUUUUUGCAGGGACCGCAUGAAUAAGGACCGGCUAAUUCCGU
rnacentral:rRNA from 1 species